CAAGCAGAUGACAAAUUAAUGUUUUGCAUGAUUCCUGAUUUUCCGAAUACCGUAAAUAGUGCUAAUUUAAACAAAAACAUUUGGGUGAUAGCGUUGAAAAGUAUAUAGUUAAUAUACUCAAAAAAAGAACAUACCGCCCCCUUUAUGAAGCAAAAUAUUCGGUCAAUAAAUGUUUUCUUCAAUAUAUGGACAUGAAUAGUAUUUUGGACAACACUGAGAGUAAAGAAAUGAUGAUACUGACGUGUAUAUUUCAAUAAAAAUAAGACAGGAAAUAAAUAAAUAAAAAUCAAAUCUUAUCAAAAGAUAAAAUCCCCAUCAACUCACCAAUACACGAUUGAUCCUAGAUAAACAAAAAGUGUUCAUGUAAUACACGUCCAAAUAGGCAGCAAAUCUACAAGAAAAUCAUUCAACUUAUGUCAUCAAUUUUGGGCGGUAAGCUGCGAU
rnacentral:lncRNA from 1 species